AUCCAAGUAGUGUAGUGGUUAUCACGUUUCCUUUACACGGAAAAGGUCCCCGGUUCGAACCCGGGCUUGGGUA
rnacentral:tRNA from 1 species